UACGUAGGGUGCAAGCGUUAAUCGGAAUUACUGGGCGUAAAGCGCACGUAGGCGGCUUUCUAAGUCGGGGGUGAAAUCCUGGAGCUCAACUCCAGAACUGCCUUCGAUACUGGAGAGCUCGAGUCCGGGAGAGGUGAGUGGAACUGCGAGUGUAGAGGUGAAAUUCGUAGAUAUUCGCAAGAACACCCGUGGCGAAGGCGGCCCACUGGGCCGGUAACUGACGCUGAGGCACGAAAGCGUGGGAGCGAACGGG
rnacentral:rRNA from 1 species